GGUAAUAAUGCUGAUGAGUUUUGAAAUUGAAGAGAAGAGAAGAAUAAGCAUAGGGAUAGGAGCUAAAUAGGAAAAAAAGAAAAUUUGAGGUUUUGGGGGGUACUGACUCCAGAGCUUUGUAUCAAAUAACUUUCAUCAACUUCAAUUCAUGCUGAGGACAGGAUUGGACCCAAGGUGUCUCCUCCUCUGCCUCCCCCACCCCCUGGAAUUAACACUGAUAAUAUGAAUAGCAGAGCAACAAAGCAAGAAACCUUACUUCCUCUAGACACAGAUUCACUACCGAGAAAAACAGAAGAGUGGUAAUACAAAACAAAGAAUUCACUGAUUUUAAUAUGAUAUUUUCUGAAAACUAGGGACAUACACCAAAAUUUUCCAAAGUGGGUACACGGAUGGGAUGUAUGAGCCUCACAUUGGUGAACUAGGGGUUUCAGAAUAGCUUUAGGGCCAGAAGGCCCCACCCAGCUGUACCUGCUGGGAAUGAUCACACUGGAGGUGGGGUUCAAAAGGGAGCAUCUGAGGUCAGUCUGGGUGGACAGAGCAAAGGGUGGAGGCAGUUGUGUGCUGCAGGCUCCUGCAGAGAAACUGCCAGGACUUGUCCCCAUGCUGAGCCACCACUGGCCUUUCACCCCAUGUACACUGGGAAUGACGGACCACCACUGAUAGAGGAAGACCUUCCAGAACUCCAGCAGGAAUCCAGGAACAGACUAGUGGCACUGACAGAGGAACCAAAGCCGGCAUAGGAAGUGGCACAUGGAACAGGUGUAAGGGAGUCCCUUGAUCACAUAUGUGAGCUAUUAUUCACAGGGUCCUAGAUUGGAACCUGGUGGAGCAGAAAGGGCCCAGGUUCCCCAGUGCAGGCCACUGACUCUUACCACUGGGCAAUAUGGCCACUGGCUGUAGCCACUGGGUGAUACUGCCAAGUUUGGAGUUCAGCCCCCUAACAGGUACCUAAAUCUAUUGAUUUAACUGGAAGAUAUGGGUAUUGAGCUCCUCUGAAAAUCAUGCCAUUUAUUAGGAUGUCUAAAUAUGGACUUAGAUGCCCAAAUUUAGACUUUCACUUCUGACCACAGUGGAUUUUUUAAAAUUGGACACUUAAGGAGAAAUGUAUCUAGCAGGGGGGAACUGCAAUAGACUCAUAAGGCAGAGAAACCAUUUCAAUUCCACUGUUGGGAAGAGAGUGAGCACAGAGAUUCUAUUCAGGGAGAUUUUUUUAAUCCCCUGAAAGCCAUACAGCUGAUACACUGAAUGGAAUACCUAGUUUAUGGAGAAAAGGUUAUGGCUGAUUCCUAGAGGUGAUAAUGUGUUGCACUGAGAACUGUGUUGGACUUACAUGUUAGAACUUUAAGAAUGGGGAGACAAGGAAUGUUCCUGGUCCUUCUUGCAGGC